UCCUUAUUAAUGUGAAUUGUACUAUUUUUGUAAUAUGUACAAUCUUUUUGUAAUUAUUUGGUUGAUGCACUUUUCUUGUAAUUACUUUCUAUUUGUUAUAUACUUAUGUAAAGAACCCUAAUUUAAAUGCCUUGUAUACGAGUUGGGGCCAUUUGAAACAUGUAAGACUAUAUUUCCAUAUUUUGAUGCUAGAUAUAUUUUGAUAAUUUUUGUAUUGGUAUUUUUGUGAUAUCCUAGAUGGAUAUAAGGUUAAUGAGUUACCUAUAAGAAUUAGACUUAGCCCAUUAUAGAUUUGGAUUUACGAAAUUGUGUAAUCUUGAUUGUGAGCUUAGGGUGAUGCCUAAGGUAUUCAAAUCCAUAUUUGAACGAAUUAGGACCAUCUUCGAUGAUAGACUUGAGUUACAAUUGGACUUUUCCUGCUUAUGUUGAAAUUACAUAUUUGCAAGCUAGGAGAGGGGUGCACAAAAGGCCCACGGUCUGGUCUGGACCCGACUUGGUAAAGGCAUGGACCAGUCAGGACAGGCCCAAACGACUUGAAAAUACUGUUAUUUUAAAACAAAAAUCCGGCAUGGUCUGGCCUGCAAAAAAAUCUGGGCGUGAGCUUGGGACUGGUCCAACCUGAGGCCUAUAUAACCUAAUUCUUUAUCUAUUUAUUUCUAAUUUUUAAACUUUAAAGUUAUAAUUAAUUAUUAAUGAAGUAUAAAUUUUUACUUAUUUAUUAUUGCAAUUUGUAAGUUGUAAUACAUUAGUUUUAAUUAAUAUAUCAAUAAAUUUAAAAUUUCAAUUAUUCAUUCUUGAUUUCUUGUAAAUAUAUUUAAUUAAUAUACAUUUUUAAUAUAUAUUUAAUUUUAUUUCAAUUUUCUUUAUGUUUCACUUUCACCUAUUUUUUUUUUAAAAUUUAAGAGGAGUAUAUUUAUUUUUGUUCUAAUCAUCCAACUUAUAUUGGUGUGUGCAGUAGAAUGUUAAAAUAAAAUAAAUCUCAAAAAAUUUGCAUCUUUUUUACAAAAUUUUAUUAAUUUAUAUUUUUAAUAUUUAAUAUUUAAUGUUAAAAGAAAAAAGGGAAGGGGUGGACCGGACCAGCCUGGCAAGUCUAAGUCAACGACUUGACCUGACCUGGUCAAAGCCCAAGGCCUGGUAGGCCUAGGUCGAACUAGACUAGGCCGACCUGUUGUGCAUAUCUAACUAAGAGGAAGCUUAAGACCUUUAAAUUCAUAUUUGGAAAAAAAUGGGAUUUUCUUCCCAUGAUAGACCUUUGAUUUGGGCAUGUUAGGGGUCAUUAGUAUUUGUAAAUCAUUUAUGGAUCUUAAAACUAUUUAAGUGACUUUUUAGGCCUUAAGGUAGAGUUUAAGGCCCAAAUAAUAGAUUGUUGUUGUAUUUUAUUGGUGGAUUUAGGGAUGGCUUUCAUACCCUAAGUUGACCCUAGAACAUUUACUUUGGGUGGUAAAAAAAAGGGUUCUUUAUAGAAAUAUACAACAAUUAGAAAGUAAUUACACCAUUAGUGCAUCAACAAAAUAAUUAUAAAAAGAGUGUAAUUAGGACCCAUAUUACAAAAAUAGUACAAUUCACAUUAAUAAGGAAACCUAAAAUCAAAGAGAAAUAACUGCUAUAAUUAAUAAUUCAAAUUCAAAUAUUUGGGAUCUAACAACAAAAAUAAAUUCAAAUUCAAAAUAAUAAUUCAAAUUUAAAUCUUCAUCUCCCUUUCCAUAUUUUCUCUCUCCUUUGUAACUAAGAAAUUCCAUCUAGCUCGUUCAUGGUGUAUGUGUAGCAGAUCUAAAUCUGCAUCUUCCAUUCUCUAAAAUAACUUCAGAUUUAUCUCCAAUACUUGAUUUGUGUACUGAUAUAUGAAAGACUUUUUCACAUUCUGCAACCAAUGUAACAGAAUUAACAACUAUUCACAAUCACCAUAUGCUAAAUAGCCAGACAAAACACGAACAACCAAAACAAAACAAAUAGAAGAAGAAGAAGAAGUCGGAGUUACCAAAACAAAUCAAAGAAGAAGAAGUCGGAGUUACCAAACCAGCAAGAACAGAUCCAAAACGAAUUCGGAGUAGCCGAACAAAGAGGAAAUCACAAAUAAUUUUUUUAUAUGAAUAUUUGGUUACCCACAAAAACUAAAAUGAUUACUUUUGUAUGAAGGUUUGGCUACCAAUUGCACCAUAUUCAAAAUAAUUUUAUUUUUAAAAAUUUAUUUAAAAGCAACUAACAACUACAUAAAUGAAAACUUAGACAUGGCAUUUCAGAUACCAUCUACACGUAACAUUUAGAAACUGUUCUUAAUUUUUUUUUUAUUAAUUGGUAACCCAAUAAAACUGAAUUGGUUACUUUUUUAUGAAGGUUUGGCUACCAACUUAUGAAUAACAUUUUAAAAAUAAAAUUAUUAUGAAUAUGGUGCAGUUGGUAGCCAAACCUUCGUACAAAGGUAAUAAUUUUAAUUUUUGUGGGUAACAAAAUAUUCAUAAAAAAUAAAUUGCAAAGCCAUAAAUUGCAAUAGAAAACAUAACAUGACAAGCCCUUAUGCGUGACCCAGCUUGGAUAAAUGUUUUAGGUGUGGACAACCUAGGCACAACUCUAAUCAAUGUUCUACAAGAGGCGGCGUGAAUUUGAUGGAGGCAGAGAAUAAAGAAUGUGAACUGCAAGAAGAUGAACUAAGAGAAACUUCUCAUGGUAUGACAAUGUUGGAGUGACAUAAGGUGAUGAUGGAGAUAGGCUUUCUCUUGUUGUGAGAAAGAUACUUAUGGCCCCGAAACAAGAUGAGUACCCUCAAAGGAAUAAUAUCUUCAAAAUCCGAUGCACUGUUAAUGGGAAGGUAUGUGAUUCAAUUAUUGAUAGUGGCAACACUGAAAAUAUUGUGUCUAGGUUAAUGGUUAACAAGUUGGGACUGUCUAGGUUAAUGGUGGAGGAGGGCGUUAAUGGUGGAGGAGGGCGGAGGAGAAGACUGACAAAGGCGGAGGAGGCGUGAUUUUUAUUAAGGAAAGAGAAGGUGUGCUAUAUAAUUUACUUAUAUUAAUUAAUUAAUUUAAUAAGUAAAUCAAUACUAAUCCCCUAAAUUAAGGAAUCAUAAUUGCAUACUAAUUCCUUAAAUUAAAGAAUCCUAAUUGCACUAAUAUUGUAAAUAAAUAUAAAGGUUUAUUAAUUGUGUAAAUAUUUUAUGAGUGCACUAUUGUUGUAAUUAUUUUUAAAAAUAUAAUAGAAUAUGUAAUUGUCCCCAAAAAUAAUUUUCAAAAACUAAAGCCUUACUAAAAUUGAGCAAUUCAAAGAAUAUAAAUUAAAUACUUGGAAGGACUCUUGAAUAGAACCUAAAAUACACGUUUCAAAAUGAUUUUAAAAAAUACACGUAAAAUAAAAUACACUCCUCCAGUCCUUUUCGUUACACCUAGUAUAUAUUCUUUUGGCACUGCUCCACCUUUGAUUUCACUCUUAAACUCAUAGCCACCUCCUGCUUCCAUGGGUUCAAACCUUACGGUAAUAUCAUCAAAUUGCCCACCUCACUAAUGAUUAAUGUCUUAAUGUCCUCCAUCACUAAUGAUUUUUGUAGAUCAAUUUUCAUAAUUUUCGAGCACGGUAUGUCACAAAAAGCUUGUAAUUCUUGAACAUUGGAAAUUUGGAAUAUAUUCAAGAUCUAAAAUGUGGCACAGCUGAUUGUGUUUGGAAAAAAGGAUUAGCCCCUUAAAAAUAGAAAGUGAGAAAGUGUACAGUACAAUAGUACAUUACGAGCUAGUGAAAUUUAACCUAAUAGGCAUCAUCUUUUCCAAAAGAGAAGUAAAUUGUCCAAACUGACAUGAUAAUAAUUUGGCAUGUGAAAGAAGAAAUGCACCGAAUCAAAUAAUUUAUUGGGAGUUGGCGAAAGUAAAAAAGGAAAAGAAAAGGGACAAAAUCAUCCACCAAUAAAUUGGUCUUGGCUCAAAAUGGAGAGAAUGGAGCUGUCUGUGUGAACGUCCAUGCCCCAUGUCACCGGUUCAAACUAUCUCAAAGUCCCACAUCAGUUGAACUUGAAUUGAGCAUUACACUUUACAUUAUAAAAGGACUAGCAAGUAUCAUUAAAGCUUAAAUCUUAAACCAAACUUAGGACCAAGCCCUAGGCUGGUCCAAACCUUAGGCCGAACCAGGACACAGGCCGGGUUAAACCAGAUUUUUUUGAAGGCUAGGCCAGGUCGAAUAUGUGCUAAAAAAUUAUGGUUUGUUUCUGGCCUUGUAGACCGGAAUUGUCUGGCCCAGGCUUUGACCAGGCCUAAGUUUAAUCAGGCCGGCUCAGACCAGAUUAAGGCCAAGCCUUAUGUCACAAGCUAUUUGUGCACCACUACUCACAAUGCAUGUUACUAAGCACACACCACAAUUCACCUAGGCACGGAACACUUAACAAACACAAGGGAACUUCUUCAAAACUUGAAAAAUUAAAUAUUAGAAAAGUGGUUACCGUGAUUCACGGAAGUCAGGAGGUGCUUAAUAUAUUUUUCUUGCUUAAACAAGUCCUCAGACUCUAUGGAUCUCGGUUGCGGACCAAUUUAACUGAGUAACAUUUCAAUGAGUCUUUCAUAUUUAAAAUUUAAAAUUAAUUCGGAUGAGUUGCUACAUCUAUUUAGGGUAAAAUGUAAAGUUGACCAUUGAACUUUAGGGGUUUUUGGGUAUUGAGCUCCUUUCUUUUGGUCAACGCAAUUUGAGUCCCUUUCUAUUCAAAAAUUUUGGACUUUGAGCCCCCAGAGCGUUGACCUGCUGACGUGUCACACGUGGAAGAUCUGACGCGGACAUUUUCCACGUGUACAAGCUGACAUGGCCGUGUUUUAUUUUUUUCUAAAAAAUAUGUCCAGUUGCAAGAUUCGAACUCAAAACCUCCAAUUUGAAAUCUUGGUCACAUAACCACCCGAACACCACAAGCCUAACUAUAAAUAUUUUACAAGGAUUAACCUAUAUAACGAAAAAAAUUAUUUCCCCCCCGAAUAAAUUAACAGACAGAACAGAUAAAUUUCAGAUACCCAAAAGCAAGGGUUCGAUAAAUUGAUGCAAAAAGUUAGGGUUCCAACUUGUGGCAAAACUUCAAAUGGCCUCAAAAUAUAAGCCUUGUUUGAAAACAGAGCAUUUCUUAAAGAACCCUGAAAUCCAUCGUACCCAAUUGGACUAAACCCACAACUAAUUGAGUUUUCGUUGUGACAUAAAUUGGUAGAAAACGGGUAGCAGUAAAAAUCAGAACUAGAAAGGGGAAUUCGAAUUUGUUAAGAAAUUGGGUUCAUAGUCCAAAUCGAAGCUAUUGUCAAAUGGAACAUUAAAGAGCGAAAAGAAGCUAGAUUUGGGAGGGAAGAAGGGAGAAUGUAACUGCGACGUGAACGCCGGUGUCGGAGAGCAGGAAGAUGAAGAAUCCAUUGCUUGUAACACCAAAUUACCAUUAUUAAAAUCUGGGUGAUGAUUUGUGAGGAUAUUUUGAGAACGGUUCAUAGUAUUAUUAGCAAACCAAUCAGUUUUGAGUAUUGAUUUGAAGCUAGUGAGAGGAACAACGUUCAUACCUAAAUUUUUACAUGUAUCUCCUUCGCUAUUGUCCUUCACCGCCCAUGAAAUUCCUUUGUCUUCUUCUCCUUCCAACCAUGCGAUUCCAUUAGAGCUUGUUAGCAUUUUCUGGUCCUUCUCUGUGGUUUUUUCUCUCUUUAAAAAUUCGCAAGACAAAUAGAGGAGGAGAAAGGAGAAGAAGAGGGAAAAGGAAAGAAGCUUUUUGAGAGUAUAAUAAGGAGAACAUAUUUCAGAGAGAGAAAGAGAAUGAGGGAUUCAAAUUUUGCAAGGAUUCCUUAUUGUGGAAUAAAUGGAGACCACUACGGGGUUAUCUCCUCUUAUCUAUCUGUUAUGUAGAGAGACCACUAUUAAUGGAACCCUAACUUGAAUUCUUACUUUUGGGUAUAUGAAAAUUUUGAGUUUUAGAUGAGAGAGACGACAAUGGAGAUGAGAUGAUGGUGUAAUUUAGAAAAUCAAAUGAUCUGUUUUGUCUUUUAAUUUAUUUGGAGAAAGGAAUUGUUUCGUUAUAUAGGUUAAUCUUUGCAAAAUAUUAACGGUUAAACAUGUGGUGUUUGGG
rnacentral:lncRNA from 1 species